rnacentral:rRNA from 1 species
GUAGGUGGCAAGCGUUGUCCGGGAAUUAUUGGGGCGUAAAGCGCGCGCAGGCGGUUCGUUUAAGUCUGAUGUGAAAGCCCACGGCUCAACCGUGGAGGGUCAUUGGAAACUGGAGAACUUGAGUACAGAAGAGGAAGGCGGAAUUCCACGUGUAGCGGUGAAAUGCGUAGAGAUGUGGAGGAACACCAGUGGCGAAGGCGGCUUUCUGGUCUGUAACUGACGCUGAGGCGCGAAAGCGUGGGGAGCAAACAGGAUUAGAUACCCUGGUAGUCCACGCCGUAAACGAUGAGUGCUAAGUGUUAGGGGGUUUCCGCCCCUUAGUGCUGCAGCUAACGCAUUAAGCACUCCGCCUGGGGAGUACGGCCGCAAAGGCUG